GACGAACGCUGGCGGCGUGCUUAACACAUGCAAGUCGAACGGAAAGGCCCUGCUUUUGUGGGGUGCUCGAGUGGCGAACGGGUGAGUAACACGUGAGUAACCUGCCCUUGACUUUGGGAUAACUUCAGGAAACUGGGGCUAAUACCGGAUAGGAGCUCCUGCUGCAUGGUGGGGGUUGGAAAGUUUCGGCGGUUGGGGAUGGACUCGCGGCUUAUCAGCUUGUUGGUGGGGUAGUGGCUUACCAAGGCUUUGACGGGUAGACGGCCUGAGGGGGUGACCGGCCACAAUGGGACUGAGAUACGGCACAGACUCCUACAGGAGGGAGCAGUGGGGAAUAUUGCACAAUGGGCGGAAGCCUGAUGCAGCAACGCCGCGUGCGGGAUGACGGCCUUCGGGUUGUAAACCGCUUUCGCCUGGGACGAAGCGUGAGUGACGGUAAUGGGUAAAGAAGCACCGGCUAACUACGUG
rnacentral:rRNA from 1 species